UACGGAGGGUGCAAGCGUUAUCCGGAUUCACUGGGUUUAAAGGGUGCGUAGGUGGGUUGGUAAGUCAGUGGUGAAAUCUUUCGGCUUAACCAGAAAACAGCUUCCGAUACUGGUAGUCUUGAGGGAGGUAGGGGCAGGUGGAACUUCUGGUGGAGCGGUGAAAUGCGUAGAUAUCAGAAGGAACGCCGGUGGCGAAAGCGACCUGCUGGAUCUCCUCUGACGCUGAGGCGCGAAGGUCAGGGGAGCAAACGGG
rnacentral:rRNA from 1 species